rnacentral:rRNA from 1 species
GACGAACGCUGGCGGUGUGCUUAACACAUGCAAGUCAACGAGAAUUUAUCUUCGGAUAAUAGUAAAGUGGCGAACGGGUGAGUAACGCGUAAAUAACUUGCCUUGGAGAUUGGGACAACAUUGGGAAACCAGUGCUAAUACCAAAUAAUGCAGCGGGCCCUUCGGGGCAUAGUUGUUAAAGUAGGCUUCGGCUUACACUUCAAGAUAGAUUUGCGUCCGAUUAGUUAGUUGGUAGGGUAAUAGCCUACCAAGACCGAGAUCGGUAGCUGGUCUGAGAGGAUGAUCAGCCACAUCGGGACUGAGACACGGCCCGAACUCCUACGGGAGGCAGCAGUGGGGAAUAUUGGACAAUGGGGGCAACCCUGAUCCAGCAAUACCGCGUGUGUGAAGAAGGCCUGAGGGUUGUAAAGCACUUUCAAUUGUGAAGAAAAGUUAACGGUUAAUAACCGUUAGCCUUGACGUUAACUUUAGAAGAAGCACCGGCUAACUCCGUG